rnacentral:rRNA from 1 species
AGAGUUUGAUCCUGGCUCAGAACGAACGCUGGCGGCGUGCUUAACACAUGCAAGUCGAACGCGAACGAGUUCUUCGGAACUUUAGUAGAGUGGCGCACGGGUGAGUAACGCGUAAGUAAUCUACCCUCGCAUCUGGGAUAACCCACCGAAAGGUGUGCUAAUACCGGAUACGUCUAUGUUAAUAUCUUUUUUAUAGAGAAAGGUGGCCUCUGAUUCAAGCUACUGUGCGGGGAGGAGCUUGCGUACCAUUAGCUAGUUGGUAGGGUAACGGCCUACCAAGGCGACGAUGGUUAGCGGGUCUGAGAGGAUGAUCCGCCACACUGGAACUGAAACACGGACCAGACUCCUACGGGAGGCAGCAGUGAGGAAUAUUGCGCAAUGGGGGCAACCCUGACGCAGCGACGCCGCGUGGAUGAUGAAGGCCUUCGGGUUGUAAAAUCCUGUCAGAUGGGAAGAAGUGCUAUAUGGUUAAUAUCUGUAUAGUUUGACGGUACCAUCAAAGGAAGCACCGGCUAACUCCGUGCCAGCAGCCGCGGUAAUACGGAGGGUGCAAGCGUUGUUCGGAAUUACUGGGCGUAAAGCGCGCGUAGGCGGCUAUGUAAGUCAGAUGUGAAAGCCCGCGGCUCAACCGUGGAAGUGCAUUUGAAACUGUAUAGCUUGAGUACUGGAGGGGGUAGUGGAAUUCCCGGUGUAGAGGUG